GACGAACGCUGGCGGCGUGCUUAACACAUGCAAGUCGAGCGGAAAGGCCCUUCGGGGUACUCGAGCGGCGAACGGGUGAGUAACACGUGAGUAAUCUGCCCUGUGCUUCGGGAUAGCCACCGGAAACGGUGAUUAAUACCGGAUAUGACCACUUCCUGCAUGGGAUGGUGGUGGAAAGUUUUUCGGCGCGGGAUGUGCUCGCGGCCUAUCAGCUUGUUGGUGGGGUCAUGGCCUACCAAGGCUUCGACGGGUAGCCGGCCUGAGAGGGUGCCCGGCCACACUGGGGCGGAGACACGGCCCAGACUCCUACUGGAGGCAGCAGUGGGGAAUAUUGGACAAUGGGCGGAAGCCUGAUCCAGCAACGCCGCGUGAGGGAUGACGGCCUUCGGGUUGUAAACCUCUUUCAGUACCGACGAAGCGAGAGUGACGGUAGGUACAGAAGAAGCACCGGCCAACUACGUGCCAGCCGCCGCGGUAAAAC
rnacentral:rRNA from 1 species